CAAUAGCGUAUAUUUAAGUUGCUGCAGUUAAAAAGCUCGUAGUUGGAUUUCGGGUGGGAAUGGCCGGUCCGCCGUUUCGGUGUGCACUUGCUACGCCCACCUUGCUGCCGGGGACGUGCUCUUGAGUUCACGCUCGGGACACGGAGUCGGCGAGGUUACUUUGAGAAAAUUAGAGUGUUCAAAGCAGGCCUACGCUCUGAAUACAUUAGCAUGGAAUAACACGAUAGGACUCUGGCCUAUCUUGUUGGUCUGUAGGACCGGAGUAAUGAUUAAGAGGGACAGUCGGGGGCAUUCGUAUUUCAUUGUCAGAGGUGAAAUUCUUGGAUUUAUGAAAGACGAACUACUGCGAAAGCAUUUGCCAAGGAUGUUUUCAUUAA
rnacentral:rRNA from 1 species